CCUGGCUCAGGAUGAACGCUAGCUACAGGCUUAACACAUGCAAGUCGAGGGGCAGCAUGAGAUUAGCUUGCUAAUCUUGACUGGCGACCGGCGCACGGGUGAGUAACGCGUAUCCAACCUUCCCCCUACUCAGGCAGUAGCCCGGUGAAAACCGGAUUAACUCCUGAUAGUUUCACUAGAUGGCAUCUGACGGUGAAUAAAGCUCAGCGGUAAGGGAUGGGGAUGCGUCUGAUUAGCUUGUUGGCGGGGUAACGGCCCACCAAGGCGACGAUCAGUAGGGUUCUGAGAGGAAGGUCCCCCACAUUGGAACUGAGACACGGUCCAAACUCCUACGGGAGGCAGCAGUGAGGAAUAUUGGUCAAUGGGCGCGAGCCUGAACCAGCCAAGUAGCGUUGCAGGAAGACGGCCCUAUGGGUUGUAAACUGCUUUUGUGCGGGAAUAAAGUCAGGGACGUGUCCCUGUUUGCAUGUACCGCAAGAAUAAGGACCGGCUAAUUCCGUGCCAGCCGCCGC
rnacentral:rRNA from 1 species